CCUUCGCAAUGUGAGCAAUCGCGACGGGGGGAUUCCAAGUGCCAUUCUUAACGGGAUGGCUUUUCAUUAGUGUAAAGAGCUUUUGGAAUAAGAGCUGGGCAAGACCGGUGCCAGCCGCCGCGGUAACACCGGCAGCUCUAUGUGGUAGCAGUUUUUAUUGGGCCUAAAGCGUUCCGUUUCACGGUAUC
rnacentral:rRNA from 1 species